CGCGUAGGCGGUUUGUUUAGUUAGGCGUGAAAUUCCUGGGCUUAACCCUGGGGACUGCGCUUAAUACAGGCAGACUUGAGUUCGGAAGAGGGUCGUGGAAUUCCCAGUGUAGAGGUGAAAUUCGUAGAUAUUGGGAAGAACACCGGUGGCGAAGGCGGCGACCUGGUCCGAUACUGACGCUGAGGCGCGAAAGCGUGGGGAGCAAACA
rnacentral:rRNA from 1 species